rnacentral:lncRNA from 13 species
ACCAAUACAUCAAAUCUCAAUCCAGCAUAAAAAUUUAUUUUAAUUUUCUCCCUUUCCAUAUUUAUAACUACCAACUUUGGUAGUGAGACAUACAUAUUUAAUAUUUACCUUAUUUACCUUAAGUAACUCCUUUACAUGGAAAUUUAAUAUUUAUAUUAUUUACUUUAACUUCCUUAUAUGUUCCUUAUAUGAACGUACAUCUGACCUGAAACUCUUUUUCUGGGGUAGACACCAUCAUGUACUGGAUCAAGCUCUGAUACUUUGUUUUAAGGCUCUAACCGGUGUGGAAGUUCUCAUCCUGCUUGUUUACUGUAAUCUCAUGGCAAUGUGUACCUUCAUGUGGCGUGAAGCUUUGAUUUAAAUACUCAAAGAAGCAGAACACCCAGAGCAGAAGGGCUCAUCUUUCUUUCUCUGGAUCAUUCAUGGAUAGUCACAGAGAUUGCUGGAGGGACAGGUAACUGACUGAGGAGGAACACGUGUUGGACACUCUGGAGACUCAAGUUGAAGGUCAUUGGGAUGUGAGAGAUGAGGAGAGAGUGAGAAAAUAAGACAAAGCAGGCAGAUAUUUUGGAGACACUGAAAAAGUCUGCGGAGUGAUCAUUGACCACCUCGAAAAAUAAUAAAAAUAAUAAAGCUGAGAUAAUGUUCUCCUGG